rnacentral:rRNA from 1 species
AACUCUCAAUCUAUGAUAAGCCCUGCCCACUGGUCCACCUAACGGUUGCGGUAUCCUGACCGUACUAAGGUAGCAUAAUCACUUGUCUAUUAAUUAUAGUCUAGAAUGAAUGGGUAAACGCACACCUCACUGUAUCCGGACGUUCUCUAAAAAUUACCCUUUAAGUGAAAAGUCUUAAAUUCUAGAGUAGGACAAGAAGACCCUAUAGAUCUCCCUCCUCAGCACAAACACCCAUGUGCUAAGGAUUUUGGAUGGGGCGUCCAGAGAAAUUAAAUCACCACAUUCAACUCUUCAAAAUCUCAAUGAGCAACCCCUCUAUACUAAACUCGGCCUCCGACCCGAAUUUCGAAUAAACUAAGUUACCUUAGGGAUAACAGGCUUAUUCUUCUCCAGAGUCCAUAUCUACAGAAGAGUUUGGCACCUCGAUGUUGGCUUAGGAUCAAUUCCUGACGCAGCAGUCAGCGAAAACACAGUUUGUUCAACUGAUAAUAUCCUACGNGAUCUGAGUUCACACCG